GACGAACGCUGGCGGCGUGCUUAACACAUGCAAGUCGAACGGAAAGGCCCUGCUUUUGUGGUGUGCUCGAGUGGCGAACGGGUGCGUAACACAUGUGUAACCUGCCCUUGACUUUGGGAUAACUUCAGGAAACUGGGGCUAAUACAGGAUAGGAGCUCCUGCUGCAUGGUGGGGGUUGGAAAGUUUCGGCGGUUGGGGAUGGACUCGCGGCUUAUCAGCUUGUUGGUGGGGUAGUGGCUUACCCAGGCUUUGACGGGUAGGCGGCCUGAGAGGGUGACCGGCGACAUUGGGACUGAGAUACGGACCAGACUCCUACGGGAGGCAGCAGUGGGGAAUAUUGCACAAUGGGCGGAAGCCUGAUGAAGCAACGCCGCGUGCGGGAUGACGGCCUUCGGGUUGUAAACCGCUUUCGCCUGUGACGAAGCGUGAGUGACGGUAAUGGGUAAAGAAGCACCGGCUAACUACGUG
rnacentral:rRNA from 1 species